rnacentral:rRNA from 1 species
GAUGAACGCUGGCGGCGUGCCUAAUACAUGCAAGUCGAGCGAACGGACGAUGAGCUUGCUUCUCUGAUGUUAGCGGCGGACGGGUGAGUAACACGUGUAUAACCUACCUAUAAGACUGGGAUAACUUCGGGAAACCGGCGCUAAUACCGGAUAAUAUUUUGAACCGCAUGGUUCAAAAGUGAAAGACGGUCUUGCUGUCACUUAUAGCUGGAUCCGCGCUGCAUUAGCUAGUUGGUAAGGUAACGGCUUACCAAGGCUACGAUGCAUAGCCGAGCUGAGAGGGUGAUCGGCCACACUGGAACUGAGACACGGUCCAGACUCCUACGGGAGGCAGCAGUAGGGAAUCUUCCGCAAUGGGCGAAAGCCUGACGGAGUAACGCCGCGUGAGUGAUGAAGGUCUUCGGAGCGUAAAACUCUGUUAUUAGGGAAGAACAUAUGUGUAAGUAACUGUGCACAUCUUGACGGUACCUAAUCAGAAAGCCCCGGCUAACUACGUG